AUACGUAGGGGGCAAGCGUUAUCCGGAUUUACUGGGCGUAAAGGGCGUGUAGGCGGUCUUGCAAGUCAGAAGUGAAAUUCCUGAGCUCAACUCGGGCGCUGCUUCUGAAACUGCAGGACUUGAGUGCUGGAGGGGAUAGCGGAAUUCCUAGUGGAGCGGUAAAAUGCGCAGAUAUUAGGAAGAACACCGGUGGCGAAGGCGGCUUUCUGGCCAGGAACUGACGCUGAGGCGCGAAAGCGUGGGGAGCAAACAGGAUUAGAUCCCCUGGUAGUCCACGCCGUAAACGAUGAAUACUAGGUGUAGGGGGUAUCGACUCCCUCUGUGCCGCAGUUAACACAAUAAGUAUUCCGCCUGGGGAGUACGGCCGCAAGGUUGAAACUCAAAUGAAUUGGCGGGG
rnacentral:rRNA from 1 species